rnacentral:misc_RNA from 1 species
UUAACGUAUUGUAUGGUACUCAGACGACACUGAACGCAGAGGUUGGGUCCUCUGGCAGGCGCUCCCCAGCACAGGGUGCCGGGGGCCCGGGGGCGGCCUGCCAAAGCAACAAGGGUAGGGUACACAGGGUGGGAGGUCUGCCCCGGGGGGCAUGUCUCUGUAAUGAUCCUUCCGCUGGUUCACCAACGGAAA